GACGAACGCUGGCGGCGUGCUUAACACAUGCAAGUCGAACGGAAAGGCCCCUUUGUUGGUACUUGAGCGGCGAACGGGUGAGUAACACGUGAGUAACCUGCCCUUGACUUCGGGAUAACUUCAGGAAACUGGGGCUAAUACCGAAUAGGAAUCCUUUCUGCAUGGUGGGGGUUGGAUAGCUUCGGCGGUUUUGGAUGGACUCGCGGCUUAUCAGCUUGUUGGUGGGGUAGUGGCUUACCAAGGGUUUGACGGGUAGCCGGCCUGAGGGGGCGACCGGCCACAUUGGGGCUGAGAUACGGCCCAGACUCCUACGGGAGGGAGCAGUGGGGAAUAUUGCACAAUGGGCGGAAGCCUGAUGCAGCAACGCCGCGUGCGGGAUGACGGGCUUCGGGUUGGAAAACGCUUUCAGCAGGGGCGAAGCUUGUGGUGACGGUACCUGCAGAAGAAGCACCGGCUAACUACGUG
rnacentral:rRNA from 1 species